rnacentral:lncRNA from 1 species
AAGAGUUAUCUUCAAUUCUUUUUAUACAAAUCUAAAAGCUUGUUUCUUUUACUAAUUUUGCUAUAUUCGACAAUAGUCUUUGUUUCUUUGAAUGCUUAUUAAAAUUUAGAUCUUGUUUCAAAUAUUUUACUAAUUGAAUUAAUUUUGUUCUUUAGCCAUUGCUAUCAAAGAGGCUAUAGCUGGAGAUGACAUCAAAUCAUUCGAUAUAAAACCUUUUAUCAUUCCUCCUCUACAUAAUCCUGUAGUCCC